rnacentral:rRNA from 1 species
UACGUAGGGGGCAAGCGUUGUCCGGAUUUAUUGGGCGUAAAGAGCGUGUAGGCGGCUUUACAGGUCCGUUGUGAAAACUCGGAGGCUCAACCUCGAGACGCCGGUGGAAACCGUAAAGCUAGAGUCCGGAAGAGGAGAGUGGAAUUCCUGGUGUAGCGGUGAAAUGCGCAGAUAUCAGGAGGAACACCCGUGGCGAAGGCAGCUCGCUGGGACGGUACUGACGCUGAGACGCGAAAGCGUGGGGAGCAAACAGG